rnacentral:scRNA from 1 species
GGGGGCACUGAUGGCAGUGCUGAGCCAGGAGUGCAUCUGAGGCGUGUUGGGCACCUCAGGGGCCCCUCUGCAACACUGCCUGUGAUUAAAGCCCCAAAAACGCCCACCAGGAGAGCCCAGGCAGCCCAAAUGUCUCCAGGGUCACCAGAUCCUGUGCUCUGA